rnacentral:rRNA from 1 species
GACGAGGGGUCCUAGCGUUGUUCGGAAUCAUUGGGCGUAAAGCGUAUGUAGGCGGCCAUUUAAGUCAGGUGUGAAAGCCCCGGGCUCAACCCGGGAAGUGCAUUUGAUACUGAGUGGCUUGAGUAUGGGAGAGGAUAGUGGAAUUCCUGGUGUAGUGGUGAAAUACGUAGAUAUCAGGAGGAACACCGGUGGCGAAGGCGGCUAUCUGGCCCUAUACUGACGCUGAGGCACGAAAGCGUGGGGAGCAAACAGG